CGACUACAGUCAGAGUUUGAUCCUGGCUCAGGAUGAACGCUGGCGCGUGCAUAACACAUUCAAGUCGAACGGUGACGACCUUCGGGUCUGAUCAGUGGCGGACGGGUGAGUAACGCGUGAGCAACCUGCCUUACAGUACGGGAUAACGUCCGGAAACAGACGCUAAUACCGUAUAAUGCAUGGACAUCGCAUGAUGACCAUGCCAAAGAUUUAUUGCUGUAAGAUGGGCUCGCGUCUGAUUAGGUAGUUGGCGGGGGGACGGCCCACCAAGCCUACGAUCAGUAGCCGGACUGAGAGGUUGAACGGCCACAUUGGAACUGAGAAACGGUCCAG
rnacentral:rRNA from 1 species